GUGUGUGUGUUGGCAGGCUCUUAUCUCAGCUCGCAGGAUGUGACCACACCCAGACCGAAGGUAACGGCUGCUGUCAUUGGCCGACACGUUCAACAUCACAUCGUCUACAUAAAGUGUUUGUUGUGAUGUUUCCUUCUUUCCUUACCUCCUUUCCUUUACAACGUCCUCCUUCCUUCCUACAACCUCAUCCUUCCUUUCUUUUGUCGUCCGUCCUCUCCUGCUUCCUCCUUUCCUUUGCUUAACCACUUUUUUCCUUCUCACCUGGUCACAUCCCAUGCCCGUCUGUCUCCUCCUUUCCUUAGCUCACUAUGUCCUUCCCUCCUUAACUCCCUUCUUUCCUCCUUUCCUUGCUGAGCCUCCUUCUUGUCCUUUCUGUUUUCCGUCUUCUCUUCUGUUCUUCCUUUGCCUCCUCCUUUUCUGUGCCUGCGUUUCCUUCCUUCCCUUCCUCCCUUUCCUGCUGGCCAUAUUUCUUUCAUCCUACCUCCUACCACCUCCAUUCUUUCCCUCCUUCCUUGUUCCCUCCUUCCCUGUUCCCUCCUUCCUUCCUCUCUUUCUCAGCCACACUACAGUUACUGUGUUUCUGUUGUCAUGACGACAGCAGGGAUUUCAUCGAUGCUCCAAAAUGCCAGCUGCUGGUCGUCAUGACAACAGAAACAGGGGUGAUGCAAAACCUGAAGUUCCUUACAUCCAUCCUUCUCUCCUUUCCUACGUCCUCGUCUCCGUACAUCCAUCCUUCUCUCCUUCCACUCUUUAUCCCUUCCUAAUCCCUCCUUCCUUUCUUUCUUUCUUUUAGUUCCAACCCUACAUCCUUCCAUCCUUACUCCACUUGUCUUUGCUUCCUUGUUUUUGCUUCCAGCCUUCCUUUCCUUCAUCCCUCUUUCCUUCUCUAUCUGCAGCCUUCCUUUCCUUCAUCCUUCUUUCCUUCUCUAUAUGCAGCCUUCCUUUCCUUCAUCCUUCUUUCCUUCUCUAUCUGCAGCCUUCCUUUCCUUCAUCCUUCUUUCCUUCUCUAUCUGCAGCCUUCCUUUCCUUCAUCCCUCUUUCCUUCUCUAUCUGCAGCCUUCCUUUCCUUCAUCCUUCUUUCCUUCUCUAUCUGCAGCCUUCCUUUCCUUCAUUCUUCUUUCCUUCUCUAUCUGCAGCCUUCCUUUCCUUCAUCCUUCUUUCCUUCUCUAUCUGCAGCCUUCUUUUCCUUCAUCCUUCUUUCCUUCUCUAUCUGUAGCCUUCCUUUCCUUCAUCUAUUUCUUCGUCUAAAACCUUCCUUCAGUAAAAUGAUGUAAAUAUCAUUAUUCUUUGCAGAGGACACACAGUUGUGUAUUACCGACUGCCGCUCUCAUUUUAAUUGUCGGACUCCACAAACAGAAGUCGUUCUCAGACCUGAGCUCCAGGUUCAGGGGAGAGGUGGAGCAGCUGGGUGCAGCAGACACAGACAGGAAGUGACCUGUUACCUCUGCUGCAGAGGUCAUGUGAUCAUGUGUACUGCUGACAGACUUCACACUGGGAGAUCAUCGGAUUCUUUUCUUCUGCAGUCACACAAAUGAUUUAAAGGUUUGAAUGCUGAAAGAUGGCCGAGGAGAGAGGAAGGUGUUGUGCUGAAUAAAGCUCGUCCAUCUGUCAUAUCAGCAACUUCAAAUUCCUGCAGUGAUGGAGCUGACGGUGUAGCAGCGAUGAC